UCCAAUGUGAUACUUCUCUAUAUGAUUCAAUUGAAUAUGAUUUGGAACAAACUUCCUAACUCAUAUUCAUAUGCUUUGGCCAAAGACUCUCGAAUCAUAUCUUAGAGUAUUCUCCUUCUACUAUGGAAGGUUAGAGAUCCCUUGUUGUGCAUUCAUAUGCCUACAUAACUAGAUAGCUUGACCCCAACAAUGCCAUGGACACUCUCAAUGGAAUGCCUUUGACAUGAUCAAAGAUCAAGGACCUAACCAUUAGACAUCUAUGAUGCCUCAGGUCAAAUGACUACUUUGCAUAUUGCAACUUACGAGUUCUUACAUGACAUGUAUGUUCGAACUCUCUUUUGAUCGUUGUUCAGUGUACUCGAUUACUCUUUCAAGCACCUAUGUGUUUGUCUUAGUGCCCAACACUAAAUGACUUGAGACUAGUCAUACUCACGCUUGAGUUGACAUAACACAUACUAACCUUAGCGGAUUGUCAAUGCCCAAUUGGCAAUCCUAUGGCUAGGAACGUUUUAGGAAUGAACAUAAGAGAAAGGUCUCGUUAAUCUAACUUACUUAAAAUCACUUCUCUCUUAGAUUAAAUACAUUCCUUGGAUUCCCUUAUUGCUUAAACAUAUGAUACAAUAAAUAGUGAUUAACAAUAAGUUUUGCCCUUCAUUAAACAUUUAAUAGUUUAAUACAUUAAGUAUUCCAAAAGCUAUUACAUCAAAUGAGUGGCUUUGUGGGCAUACUUCCAACACUUAAACCCUUAGUAGACUGGGGAUAUAGACUAAAAUGAAAUGAACUCAAAUAUGUAAGUGGUUCAUCCCUCAAAACUGGGCUACGUCUACUGUGAUGCACAAAUUCUAUUGAUUGCAAGACUAAAAUAGCGCUCGGUUAAUACACAUAAUAUCUCUUUCUUCUCGUCCAACCCAAGUAUUGGGGUCUUUACCCCUUUAUAUAGGCUCUCAGGGAACCCUGGUGCGUAAGGUCUUCUCCACUGGCCAGUUAUUGUGCCACCUAUGUAGACUGGCCUACUAGCAUUUUUUCACCUGCUAACCAUAUAUUCGGCGGUGAAGUGAUAGGUGUCUAGUCGAGGUUACAGACAUUUUUAAAGUAAAGUGCACCAUUCUUCUCGGUUGGUCUAGGUUAUCCAAUCUAGUCUCUCCGAGAACCUUUCAAACUCGCUUUGUGUCCCAUCUUAGGUCCCUCUAGUUAACUUCAAGUCACUAAGUAGCACGAAUGGCAUUUAAGUAGUUCUCCCCUUGAAGACUUGAGCCAUAAAGUUGUCAGUCUACCCACUUGUUCUUGUCAGUCGGCAUUUAAUGCAUAUCCUGGUCACCUUCUCAUGCUUCGGCGUGUACCAUCCUAGGCUUCUUGAACCCUAGGAUUCUUGGUCUAUUGGGCCUUCAUAGCUUUGCCUUGGGUUUUCUAAUGGCUUUCUUUCAACCUGGUACCUUCAUAUAGGCCUAAAAGUGCCUCAAAUUAACAACUACCUUCCCUAUAUCAUUUUCAACAAUGUUGGCUCGUUGUUGAAUUAACCUUAUAAAUCAUAGUCAUUCAAAGAGCCUAAGAUAACUAUAAGUCCAAAUUCCAAAUGAAUGCAAAAAAAAAUUUAUAUUGAUAUGUUUUCACAAACAAAUAGUGGGAGUGUCAUACACUACUAAACUAAAAUGAACUUAAUUAGUAGUUAAAUGUAUCUCCAAUAUUUGAAAAUUGGUUUGAUAUUGAUUUGUUUUAUUGAAAACAAAUAGUGGGGAUAUCAUAUCUACUAACUUCAUUUAAUUUUGGACUAGUGGUUGUAAUAGGACACAAUUUAUUUUAAUGUGAUUAAAUCAAUAAAAUAAUGAGACUUCAACCAAUAUCCAAUAUUAAAUUGCAGAGGUUCUUUGAACACUACUUCAUGGCUUUCCACCAUGGUAGGCUCUAAUUUGUGCACCGCCGUAUGUGGAUGAGAUAAGCUGAGAGUGCUCACACCUUGUUGUAGAUUCACUUGGAGCGAAAGAAAAAUCUCGUCACACAAAUGGAAUUUCAUAUUAGAGGAAAUACUAAUCACAUGAAUUGAUUGUUAGCGCUGUUCAAAAAAUCCCCGCCUAGGCGCUAGGCGGGUAGCCAUUACCCUGAUUAGUCUCUAGGCAUUUGAAAUUUAAGAAAGAGCGACUAGGCCCGCUUAGGCAUCGGCCUAACCUGCUUAAACCCACUUAUGUCGCAAUUCUAACUUAGAGAGAAAAUCGAUAACUUUCAUUUUGCAUUUUAUUUUUUCAAUAAAAUGUAAGAGACUUGUUGAAUACUUGGGUGAAUACUCAUUAUAUAGUUGUUCUCCAUGUUUUAAAUAUGUCCUAAUACUUUAUAAUCUACAUAUCAUUUUAUUUUGCAAUUUAUGUAUACAAUUAUGUGUUUUUAUUUAUUAUAAAUAGGCAUUUUUAUACAAUAUAUAAUAAAUUACUUAAAUCUAUCUAGGCCCCGCCUAGCCGUCUAGGCGAUAGGCCCCAGCCGCCGCCCGACUAGCGCAUAGCGUCUUUUAGAACCUUGAUUGUUAGUAUGGUACUACAAUGAUCUCAAGGUCGAAGAAAAGUUUGCAUAAAGUAUACAAUGAAACAUACUUUGAAAUAUUGAGGUUGGGAAACUACGUCAAAAGGUGUUACAAAUGGAUAAGGUUCAUCUAAACCAAUGAUUGAUUCUAAACCAGUAUUUUAACACAUGGAAGUGACAACAUUGUAUGUUUUGGAACAAGAAAUAAUAAAUCUUUUUGUUGGAACCAAGUCUGCGCAUAGUGGGGAAUCAACCUGCGAGAACAAAGACUAAGAGAGAUCACGAAACCAAGCUCCUGGGAGAGUGUGAACAAAAAUUUGGGAAGAACUAAGUUCAUUAAGCAACAUAAUACAUGCAUUUAACAAUUAAAUAGCGGAAGCAUGCUUCUAUACACUUUAAAACAAAACUUAAUCCAUGAAAUUCAAAACCUAGUAGUUGUGGUGAACCAACACUCAACUCAAAUCUUACAGAAAGGAGUUGAGAAACUUUUAUACCUUUGAAGCACCUCUUUGCUUAGCAAAGGAUAUUCACCCAUGUGAAGACCUUCUUUCCUUUGUCUCCUUGCUCCUUGGUGAUGUGAGAAUUAACUUGACACACAAUUAAACCCUAUUGUUGACAAUUGUAGUAAAGAUGUAAGUAGGCAUCGUUCUAGACCAGGGAUUAACUAGGGAUGCUAAUCAACACAAAUAAGACUUAAGAACACUAAACUAGACUCCAUAAACUUAAAACUGACUUAAAUGACUCAAAACAGCAACAAACAAUCAAAAAGACUCAAUUCUAGACCUAACAAGUGAUUUUGAUGAAAAUAAACUUAACUUGACUCAAAAGAUUAAAAGAAAACAAAUUAUGACUCAACUAACAAGACUUAAUGAAAGGGGGAUUAUUUUUUACGAAUUUAAAACUUAAAACAGAAACUUUGUAUAAAACACUUUAUAAAAACGAAUUUGGUGAAUUGAAAAGGGUGAAAGGCUAGUUAGAGGGUCAUUCUCCACACAUGACAUAUGCAUACAAACCAAUUUCCAGUUAUUAUUCCUUUAGACUAUGAAUGACAACACCCCAAGUUAACCGUGAUAGCACAAAUUAACCAUAAGAUUUUCCUUAACUCAUUGAAUUGGAUGGAAUAUGCAUUGCAACCAAAUUAUCCUUAUCAAGUUCCCUAACUAUGAAAAGCAUGAUAGAAAGUGAUAAGAGCAUAUUUAUGUGGUUGAGUUAGCUUGUUCUCAUGCAUUUAUGUUGUUAUUUCUUAGUUAAUUAUGUAUUUUAAGCUAUUUUCAUGUGUUUGUAGGUCCAUAGGCCUUAUAAAGCAAUAAGAUGCAUUUUGGUGCCUUUUGGAGCAGUUUUGGGCUUGGAAUGGAUAGCACAUGCAUGGAGCAAGGUGGAUGGAUGAAAUUGAAGACUAAAGAGGCUAGGAAUGUGUUAAAGAGAAAGAAGAAUUAGUGUAAAAAGGACAAAGAGCUCAGCCACAAAGGGGUGUCACUCCACCAUUCACCAUUCCAUCAUUGCCAUGCACCACCAUUGCACUCCCUUUGGAUUCAUAUGCCGUGCAUCAUUAUCCAUGUUUCCUCCAUUGACUCAUUUGUUGCAUCAUUCCACUUUCUUUCCUUUGUCUACCAUGUGCACAAUAUCCUUUCACCUUCUUGCACUCAUUGAUUCACCACUUACUCACAUUUCCACCCAUGCCACGCAUAAUCACCCUUGUCCCCUUCAUGCACCAGAUUUCUUGCACUCAUUUCAUGCACCAUUGCACUCAUUACACUUCAUUGCCAUGCACCACCGUUGUCUCCUUCAUUAUUUCUGAUUUGAUGCAUCAGUACAUUGAAUCAUUACACCCAAUUGCUGCACAUUCCUUGUUCCCUUCACCCAUCAGAUUUCAUACAACUUUUACCUCCACUACAUGCACUCAUUGAUGCACCAUCCACCACUUUUGGAAUCCCAUGUCGUGCAUCAUGACAUUUGAUGCACCUUUGACUCAUUUCUGCACCAUUCCACCUCCCUUUCCUUUCUAUACCAUGUGCACAAUCAUUCAUGUUCCCUAGCUGCAACAAAUCUCCAUUUUACCCCCCAUGCUUUGCAUCAUUACUUCAUUUUCACCCUUGAAUCAUUGCACACACCACUAAUUCACCUUCAUUGCCGUGCACUUCCUCUAUAAAAGGAAGUGUGUGUGGCAGCCAUAAAGUUAGUUUUUGCUUGAUCAUUCAUCCCCAUUUCAACACAACCUUCAUCCAAAUACAUCCAUUCAUCUUUACAUCCAUUCCUCCAUAUAAACAAACCUUCAAACACUCACCAACACCUUGUGCCGUAGCAAAGGAAGGGAAGGAAAGUGUUUGGACGUGCUUGCUGUCCAACUUGGAUCGUUUGAGCAUUUAGGUGUUUUCUUUCUUUUGUUUCUAAUGUUUAAAUUCAUUUCCUUUCAUUUUGUUGUAAAUAUGAGUGGCUAAACCCCUCUUGGCUAGGGGUGAUUUCAAAGCCAUGAUUAUGUGUGUAAUAUGAUUUGAUAAAUUCCAGUUAUGAACUCUUGAAUCGUGAAUGCAAUUGGCUUAACUAUUUGAUUGAUAACUUAUUUGUAUUUGUUAAUUAAGGGUCAACACUUAAUUGGCAUGCAUAAAUCCGUUGCUAGAGUAUAAGGAAGUUUCACAUAAUCGUUACAAACUUAUAUUCACAUGUAGUGAAGGUCGCUUAUAAACGAUCGCGUUAAGUUCAAUUCCUAGCAUGAGUGACAUGAUGUCAUAGUUGCAAGUGCUUUGUCAAUGCUUAUGAUUUUCAUUAAACGUAAUGAUCUUUGAUUGUAUCUCUAUUAUGAUGUCAUGUAGGGAACUUUUGAAGAAUGUUUUGGGUUGUCGAAUGAUGCCAUCCAAUCCAAUAAAACAAGGAAAAUCUAAGAGUUAACUAGUGAUGUCACGGUUAAUUUGGAGCAUUGUCGUUCAUAAUUCAAUGAAGUAGUAACUGGAAAUCGAAUUAUUUGCAUACAUGUCAUGUGUGGAGAAAAAGCCUCUAGCUAUCCCAUCCAUAAUCUUAAUUCGCACAUUCGUUUUACAAACUGUCUAGAUUUUCAUACUUGUUUGUUUGUUACAACUUCAUCCAAAUCAAAACCCCCACUUUUAGUUUCUUCUUUCAAAGUGUUUCAAAUCUGUUUUAGUUUGUGUUUUUAAGUGUUUUGAUUCAAGUAAAAGUCAAAUUUCGUCCAAAGUCAUUCCUAGUGCCUAGUUUAAGUUUAUUUGGUUGUUUUGAGCUGUUUUGAGUAUUUUAAGUUUGCUUUGAGUCUUGUGAAUCUUGUUAAGUGUUUUUAAGUUUAGUUUUAUGUUUUUGAGUCAGUUUAGAGGUUAUUAGCAAGCCCUCCUAAUCCCCGAUCCAGAACGAUCCCUACUUAUACUUAUAUUACAAUUGUCAAAAGAGGGUUAAAUUUAUGUGUUAAGUUAAUUUUCGCAUCAGAAAGACAAAUCAAAGGUCACUAAGUUCUUUGAAAACCAUAAGCAUUGACGAAGCAUUCGUAACUAUGAAAAGCAUGAUUCUCCUGCCAAGGAUUCACUUAACACAAUCAUGACUAGUGACUUCCACUACUUGUGAAUAUAAGUUCAUAACGAUUAGGUGAAACUCCCUUAUACUCUAGCAUCAAAUUCAUGCAUGCAAAUUAAGUGUCGACCCCCAAUCAACAUACAUAAACAAGUUUUGAUAACUCAGAUAAGCUAAUCACAUUCAAGACUCAAGAAACAAUAACUGGAUGUAAUCAAUUCAUAUAAAACAUAUAAUCAUGGCUUUGAAUUCACCUCCAACUAUAAAGAAAUUAGUUCCACAUGUCUUUAAAAACUGAAAACAACAUUAAAACCAACAUUGAAACAAAUCUAAGGGUAGAAAGAACCAGGAACGUCCCAACAACUCCAAUGGCAGAUUUCGAACCCUCAUUGGAUUGCAAGCCACGACACAGAGCUCAUUCUUCUCCAUCCUUCCUUGCAAGCACUUGAUGACUUUUUGUGUUUUGGCAUGAAUUGUAUGGUAGAUGGUAAUUUCGAAUUAUGUAGGGGGUGGUCGAAAUUGUGGCUGAAAACAUAUAUUUAUAGCUAGGGUUAUGCACAAUUUCUAAAGGGAAAAGGAUUGCACAAUCUUAGGGAAAAAGGUUAGGGUUUGGUAGAAACCAAGGGGAAAAAGGAUUACACAUAAAAAAACCAUUAGGAACAAGGAUAUAGGAUGCGGCACAAACUAGGAAAAGGGGUUCUAGAAAGGCUAAGGUGCGACACCAAAAUAAGGUUUUAGAAAGAACAUGUUGUGUCAGGUUUCUAUAAGGAACACAAGGUCUUCUAGAAAAGAAUGAAGCACCACCUUUGUAGGAACAGAUAAGACUUCUAGAAAUCAGGUAUUUAGGUCCCCUUGCAGCUGGAUUUAAGGUAUGAUAAGAUUAGGAUAGAUAAGAUAAGGUUGGUUUGGAUAAGGUUUUGGAUAAUGUUUCCUUCUUUUGAGCUGAUUCCUUAUCUUCUUUGUCUUGAAUUGAUUUUCUUCAUCUCCUUAGCAUAUUCCUAGCCUUUUGAACUUCAAAAACGUCCAUCCACCUUGCUCCAUACAUGUGCUAUCCAUUCUUGGCUCAAAACUGCUCCAAAAUGCUUCAAAAUGCACUUUCUUGCCAACUUUGUCAUUUGGACCUACAAACACAUGAAAAUAGCAUAAAACACUAUAAUAAGUAAGAACUAACAACAUAAAUGUAAGAAAACAAGCUAACUAAGUCACAUAAAUAUGCUCCUAUCACUUGGCUUCAUAGAUGUGGAUGAAGGAACUUUGCUUCUUGGCUCCAAGACUUCUUGGAUAUGGAUGGAGGAAUGGGUUCUCCAAAAGUCCCUAAAGUUGGAGACUUCUAAGUUCCAACACCAAGGAUGGUUGAGGAAGACGAUGAGUGACCAUGGAAGAACAAAAUGCUAGCAAUGUUCUCCCAUGGUGACCUGCCUCUCUAGAGAGAAAGAGAGAGCUUGUGUUCUCUCAUCUUUCUUCUAAGAAAAACCCUUAUGAAGAAAAGGCUAUAAAGAUACUUUUAUACCUGAAGGAAAACUUUUGUCCUAGCUAAGAACAUGUGAGAACAUUUGAACACAUAAGCAAACUAAUAACAUUUUAAAGUAGGCAUGCAUUCAAAAACAAUUCAGAAACCCAUGACUUUUAAAGCCUAGUGAAUGGUGAACCACAAGACUCUUUAAUAACAUUAAAAAGAAGAAAGGAUUUUGAGAUUCAUUACCCUUGAAGCUCAUCCUUGUUUACACAAGGGAUUCACCCAAGUGAAGGGCCUUCAAGUCACCUCCUAGCUCCUUGGAUCUUCCUUGUGAUUUUCUUCCUUUUGAUACUCCUUUGCUCCUUGAGGAUGUAAGGAAAGGAUCUCCAAGAACACCAAAGGUUUAGUGUCUCUAAGUCUCCACACCAAGAAUGUAGUGUGAAGAGAGGAUGGAUGACUUAGAGAGAUUUUUUAUGCUAGUAAAAGUCUCCCUAAGUGGCUGGCCUCUAUAGAGAAAAAGAGAGAAAAAAAUUUCUCUUCUUUGCCUCAAGAAAACCCUAAUGAGGGAAUGGCUAUGAAGUUGCCCUUAUACCACCUUACAAGUGAAUGGUAAACUUGUAAUAAGUCAAUCAACUCACUCUCCCUAAUAUGGCCGGUUUUAGGUUUGUUCUUGGGCUAUUUUUCCAUUUAGUUUUAGUUUUCACACAACAUAAACUCAAUGGGCCUUAUGGACCAAAAACCCUUUUGGGCCCCGAAACCCGAAACUAACUUAAAAGCCUAAUACAAACCUUUCGUACAAUUAAUUAACUAAUUAAUUAAUCUUGACCAUUCUCAAUUAAACCAUUUAAUUGCUUAUCCAUCUCUUUUAUAUCUUCACAUUUAUCCUUACUCGGUGUACGAUCCAUUAUGUUCCAUUUAGCGAAGCAGUAGGUGAUUGUUACUUUUAACGAUCGAUUGUGAAUUGAAAUAACAUUUCAAUUCUCCCUUUAAUGAAGAUUAGUGUUUGCUAAUCUUCAGGGCUUCUGCAAACCAUGAGUGACACCUAGCAGUAUGUCAUAGCUACCCAAGCUAAGUAGAAGUGGUUGGAGAACCUAUCCAGUUACAAUUACAAUGCAAUACGGUCAUUCUCUAAUACAAUACUUUUAAUCACAUUGUAUGAGUGAUAGUUUGUUUCAUGUCUACUAUCCAAUGUGAUACUUCUCUGUAUGAUUCAUUUGAAUAUGAUUUGGAACAAACUUCCUAAGUUAUAUUCGUAUUCUUUGGCCAAAGACUUUCGAAUCAUUUCUCAGAGUAUUCUCCCUCCACCAUGGAAGGUUAGAGAUCCCUUGUUGUGCAUUCAUAUGCCUACAUGACUAGAUAGCUUGACCCCAACAAUGUUGUGGACACUUUCAAUGGAAUGCCUUUGACAUGAUCAAAGAUCAAUGACCUAACCAUUAGAUAUCUAUGAUGUCUCAGGUCAAGGGACUAUUUUGCAUAUUGCAACUUACGAGUUCUUACAGGACAUGUAUGUUCGAACUCCUUUUUUAUCGUUGUUCAGUGUACUCAAUUACCUUUCAAGCACCUAUGUGUUUGUCUCAGUGUUCAACACUAAAUGACUUGAGACUAGUCAUACUCACGCUUGAGUUAACAUAACACAUACUAACUUUAGCUGAUUGUUAAUGCCUAAUUGGCAAUCCUAUGGCUAGGAACGUUUUAGGAAUGAACAUAAGAGAAAGGUCUCAUUAAUCUCACUUACUUAGAUUACUUCUCUCUUAGAUUAAAUACAUUCCUUGGAUUCCCUUAUUGCUUAAACACAUAAUACAAUAAAUAGUGAUUAAGAAUAAGAUUUGCCCUUCAUUAAACAUAUAAUAGUUUAACACAAUAAGUAUUCCAAAAGCCAUUACAUCAAAUGAGUGGCUUUGUGGGCAUACUUCCAACAAUACCUACCAUCAUUGUACUUCCAACAAUACCUACCUUCAUUGGAGUGUCAAACUUGUAAUAAGUCCAAGAACACUCCCUCUCUAAGCAUGCUGGAAUCCCUAUUGAGUUGGUUAAUUGCUCAUUUUGUUUUAGUUGUCGCACAACUUAAACCUUAUGUGUCUUGUGGAUCAAAACCCUUUUGAGUCCCGAAACCCAAAACUAACUUAAGGCCAAAACGAACCUUUCUUUCUUGAUUAAUUAACUUUUAAUUAAUCCUUGCCAUAUACAAUUAAACUAUUUAAAUGUUUUUACUCAUCUUCGUUAUUUCCUUCAAUCAUUACCUUACACGGUGUGUGAUCCACUAGGUUCCUUUUAGCGAGGCAGUGGGCGAUUAGAACUCUUACUAAAUGAUUGAGAAUUGAAACUUACUUUCAAUUCUCCAUUUAGUGAUAAUACACCUUUAGGACUUUCACAAGCCAUGAGUGACACCUAGCAGUAUGUCAUAUGAUGUGGUAAAACUAACACACAAAUUAAACCCUAUUAAGAUAGUUAUAGUACGCGUAAGUAGGAAUCGUUCUAGGCCUGGGAUUAAUUAGGGAUGCUAAUCCACACAAAUUAAACCUAAAAACUGAAAACUAGACUCUACAACAGAAAACUAAACUCAAACUACUCAAAAUAGACUAAACUAACUCAAAACACACAAACUAAGUUAAAUUGACUCAAAACAAGAACUAGAGGGUAAUUUGGACGAAAAUUAAACUAAAACGACUCAAAACACUAAAAAGAAACAAGUUUUGGACAUAUUCUAACUAAAAACACGAAAUAUAAAGGGGGAGUUGGUUUUUGACGAAUUUAAGACUAAAGCUAAACAGAUUUAAGACUCUAAAUAACUUUGGACGAAAUUGGUGAUUUAAUGGGUGAAUGGCUAGCUAGAGAAUCCUUCUUCACACAUGACACAUAUGCAUACAAAUCGAUUUCCAGUUAUUCUUCCUAUAUAAACCAUGAAUGACAAUGCCCUAAAUUAAUCAUGAGAAGCACAAAUUAACUUUCAGAUUUUCCUAAAUCCAUUGAAUUGGACUCAGCGACGCAACCAAAUUAUUCUUAUCAAGUUCCCCAUAUGAACAGCAUGAUAGAGAUACAUAUCAAAGAUCAUUAAGUUCUAUGAAAAUCAUAAGCAUUGACAAGUCAUUCGUAACUAUGAACUGCAUGAUACUCCUGCCAAAAAUUUACUUAACACAAUCAUGACUAGUGACUUUUACUACUUAUGAAUAUAAGUUCAUAACGAUUAGGUGAAAUUCCCUUAUAUUCUAGCAUCAGAUUCAUGCAUGCAAACUAAGUAGGCCUCCUUAAUCAACACACAAGAACAAGUUAUCAAUCAAACAUAUAAGUAAAUUGCAUUCACGAUUUAUGAAAUCAUAACUGGAUGUAAUCAAUUCAUAUCACACAUAUGUUCAUGGCUUUGAAUUCACCCCUAGCUAAAACAAAAUUAGUUCCACAUGUUCAUCAUAUUUGAAAACCAAAUUAAACUAAACAUUGGACUAAAAAUAAGGAUAGAAAAACCCAGAAACGCUCCAGCACUCCAAUGGCAGAUUUGGCACAAUCCUUGGCUGCAGGGGCACGGCACAAGUCUUUCUUCUCCUUGCAAGCACGGCACAAGUCUCUAAAAACCUCAGAAACCUGCGGCACUCUUGUGUAUUUUUCUCUCUAAUUUCUCUCUUCUGUGUGUGGUGAAAUUGUGGUGAGAGAUGGGUAUUUAUAGGGCUAGGGUUCAGCACAAUUUCUGAAAGGAAAAGGAUUGCACAAUAAUAAUUUUUAGAGGAGAAGGAUAGCACGAUCCUAGGAGGAAAGGGAAUAGGAUACACAGCAGGUUUCUAGGCUUCUCAAAAGGGGUUAUGGCAGGUUUCUAGAAGGAAAGGGAUAAGAGGGUGUGGCACCAAUUUAGGGCAGAGGAUAGGGCUUCUAGAACCAGAUAUUUAGGUGAUUUAAUGUGAAAUUGAUUCCCCCUUGCAGCUGGAAUUAAGGUAGGAUAUGAUUAGGAUAGGAUAAGAUAAGAUAAGGUUAGUUUGGAUAAGAUAAGGUUUUGGAUAAUGUUCCUUCCUUUUAGCUAUUCCUAAUCUUCCAAGUCUUGAUUUGAUUUCUCCAGAUUUGUAGCACAUUCCUAGCCUCUUUUGAUCUUCAAAAACGUCCAUCCGCCAUACAUGUGCUAUCCAUUCUUGGCCCAAAACUGCUCCAAAUUGUUCCAAAUUGCACUUUCUUGCCAACUUUGUCAUUUGAACCUGAAAACACACGAAAAUAGCUUACACGAUGUGUGAUCCGCUAGGUUCCUUUUAGUGAGGCAAUGGGCGAUUAGAACUCUUACUAAAUGAUUGUGAAUUGAAACUUACUUUCAAUUCUCCCUUUAGUGAUUAUACACCAUUAGGACUUUCACAAGCCAUUAGUGACACCUAGCAGUAUGUCAUAGCUACCCAAGCUAAUCAGAAGAGGUUGGAGAACCUAUUCAGUUUGGGAUUACAAUGCAAUACGGUCUUUCUCUAAUACAAUACUCUUGAUCACAUUGUUUGGUUUGAUAGUUUAUUCAUGUUUACUAUCCAAUGUGAUUCUCUUACUUAUAUGAUUACCUUGAAUGUGAUUUUUUUUACCCUAAAAACUACCAAGCCUACGUGGCGCGCAGGCCAAGUAAUGUAUAAGCUAACUACGUCCUUCAGUGAAUGCGGGGCGUGCCAACUCGUCAGCCGAGCUCGGUCGAGGAGUAAAUUUGUUGAUGUUGCAUUGGGUGCGCGGCUGACUUCUGCG
rnacentral:lncRNA from 1 species